UGGUNUUUAGUUUAAAACAAAAUAAAUGAUUUCGACUCAUUAGAUUGUGAUUAAAUUCAUAAUUACCAA
rnacentral:tRNA from 1 species